AUUUGGUGAUGAGGGCAUCGGGUACGCAGCCUGGUGAACCUCUCCCAAUAUUCAUAUAAGGAUUCCCCCUGAAAUUGCUUGAUGCCACAUAUUUCCUUUCGCAAACU